GGUUUAAUGCAGCAGAUCACUGAAGUAAAGUGUGGACACGGAUGAGAUAUAUACUUAUAAGGUCUUAUACACUACAAUAAACAACAUAUAAGGUCUUUUGAUGAAUCCAAGAGUGAAGGAGACAUGUUUUCCAAAUGGCUCCAGACAGUUUCAGCCAUCAAAAGGAUCCCCAGUCAACCCUCCACAAUUCAUAUGUUUGGGAAAAGAAAAUUGUUUAAUAUAAAUCUCCUGGAAAAGAGGGAAAUCCCACACGGGACACCAUCUGCUGACCAGUACAGUAGACAUUCAUCCAGGAGCACAACAGUGCGAUGGAGGGGUGUGAUGUGCACGUGGUCGUGCAUGAGGAGUGGAGCAGACUCGACUGGAAUUGGAUACGAUCAAUAGCGCAGACAGGACAAGAUGGCUAAGGAAGAAUUAUGUUGUCCAGAGCAGUGCAGAGCGUCAUUUGUUACCAAUGAAGAUUUGCUGCGGAGCCUAGAAAGCAUUGCCGUAGAUGGUGCUCGGAGUUUCACGGACGGCAGCAGUAUUUCUGCUUUUGAUGAUGAAGAGAAAGGAGGAUGAGUUAUUGGAAUUACAAUGUGCACGUUAUAC